UGUGCAGAGAGACAGGAGUGCUUGGCUCUGCGUUUUAGAUGGAGAGGAGUAACUGGAUCUGCCAGGACUUGAGUGGGGGUGGCUUACUGGAAUGUUGGAAGCAGAAGUGUAAUGCAGUGGGGAG